rnacentral:rRNA from 1 species
AGAGUUUGAUCAUGGCUCAGAACGAACGCUGGCGGCAGGCUUAACACAUGCAAGUCGAACGGAUCCUUCGGGAUCAGUGGCGGACGGUGAGUAACGCGUGGGAACCUACCCUGGGGUGGGGAAUAACCUUGGGAAACCGAGGCUAAUACCGCAUACGCCCUAUUGGGGAAAGACUAUGUUGCCCUGGGAUGGGCCCGCGUCCGAUUAGCUAGUUGGUGGGGUAAUGGCCUACCAAGGCUGCGAUCGGUAGCUGGUCUGAGAGGAUGAUCAGCCACACUGGGACUGAGACACGGCCCAGACUCCUACGGGAGGCAGCAGUGGGGAAUAUUGGACAAUGGGGGCAACCCUGAUCCAGCCAUGCCGCGUGAGUGAAGAAGGCCUUAGGGUUGUAAAGCUCUUUCACCCGUGACGAUGAUGACGGUAGCGGGAGAAGAAGCCCCGGCUAAUUCCGUG